UAAGACGAACCGUGCGAACGUUAUUCGGAAUCACUGGGCUUAAAGCGCGUGUAGGCGGGUGAUCGCGUCGGUCGCUGAAAGCCCCCGGCUCAACCGGGGAAGCGGCGCCGAAACGGGUCGCCUGGAGGGGAGUAGGGGGACCUGGAACUUCCGGUGGAGCGGUGAAAUGCGUUGAGAUCGGAAGGAACGCCCGUGGCGAAAGCGAGGUCCUGGGCUCUCACUGACGCUGAGACGCGAAAGCCAGGGGAGCGAACGGGAUUAGAUACCCCGGUAGUCCUGGCCGUAAACGAUGGGCACUGGGUAGGGGGCUCGCCGAUGGGCUCCCUGCCGCAGCGAAAGCGUGAAGUGCCCCGCCUGGGGAGUAUGGUCGCAAGGCUG
rnacentral:rRNA from 1 species